GAAGUGUGGACGCCAGUCUGCAUGGAGCCGACCUUGAAAUACCACCCUUUAAUGUUUGAUGUUCUAACGUGGACCCGUGAUCCGGGUUGCGGACAGUGUCUGGUGGGUAGUUUGACUGGGGCGGUCUCCUCCUAAAGAGUAACGGAGGAGCACGAAGGUUGGCUAAUCCUGGUCGGACAUCAGGAGGUUAGUGCAAUGGCAUAAGCCAGCUUGACUGCGAGCGUGACGGCGCGAGCAGGUGCGAAAGCAGGUCAUAGUGAUCCGGUGGUUCUGAAUGGAAGGGCCAUCGCUCAACGGAUAAAAGGUACUCCGGGGAUAACAGGCUGAUACCGCCCAAGAGUUCAUAUCGACGGCGGUGUUUGGCACCUCGAUGUCGGCUCAUCACAUCCUGGGGCUGAAGUAGGUCCCAAGGGUAUGGCUGUUCGCCAUUUAAAGUGGUACGCGAGCUGGGUUUAGAACGUCGUGAGACAGUUCGGUCCCUAUCUGCCGUGGGCGCUGGAGAACUGAGGGGGGCUGCUCCUAGUACGAGAGGACCGGAGUGGACGCAUCACUGGUGUUCGGGUUGUCAUGCCAAUGGCACUGCCCGGUAGCUAAAUGCGGAAGAGAUAAGUGCUGAAAGCAUCUAAGCACGAAACUUGCCCCGAGAUGAGUUCUCCCUGACUCCUUGAGAGUCCUGAAGGAACGUUGAAGACGACGACGUUGAUAGGCCGGGUGUGUAAGCGCAGCGAUGCGUUGAGCUAACCGGUACUAAUGAACCGUGAG
rnacentral:rRNA from 1 species